rnacentral:rRNA from 1 species
AACCUCGUGGAGGACCGAACCACGUUGCUGUUGAAAAAGCAUGGGAUGAGCUGUGGAUAGCGGAGAAAUUCCAAUCGAACCCGGAGAUAGCUGGUUCUCUCCGAAAUAGCUUUAGGGCUAGCGUCGAGUAUGAGUAGUGGAGGUAGAGCACUGAAUGGGCUAGGGGGCAUAGCGCUUACCGAACCUUAUCAAACUCCGAAUGCCACAUACUUUGAGCUCGGCAGUCAGACUACGAAUGAUAAGAUCCGUGGUCAAAAGGGAAACAGCCCAGAUCGUCAGCUAAGGUCCCAAAGUGUAAGUUAAGUGGGAAAGGAUGUGAGAUUUCUAAGACAACUAGGAUGUUGGCUUAGAAGCAGCCAUUCAUUAAAAGAGUGCGUAAUAGCUCACUAGUCGAGAGAUCUUGCGCCGAAAAUGUAACGGGGCUAAACUUACCACCGAAGCUACGGGCUUGAACUUAGUUCAAGCGGUAGGAGAGCGUCGUAACCGGGCUGAAGUCGUACCGUAAGGAGCGGUGGACUGGUUACGAGUGAGAAUGUUGGCAUCAGUAGCGAGAUGUGGGUGAGAAUCCCACAGGCCGAAAACCUAAGGUUUCCUCAGGAAGGUUCGUCCGCUGAGGGUUAGUCGGGACCUAAGCCGAGGCCGAAAGGCGUAGGUGAUGGACAACUGGUUGAUAUUCCAGUACCACUACCAUCGUUAUUAUCGAUGGCGUGACGCAGGAGGAUAGUGUGUGCUAGCUAUUGGAUGCUAGUCUAAGCGUUUAGGCAGUGAGAGUAGGCAAAUCCGCUCUCAUAAUGCUGAGGCGUGAUGGGGAAGGUUCCACGGAACCGAAGUACAUGAUUCCACGCUGCCAAGAAAAGCGUCUAGAGAGAGAAGUAGUGCCCGUACCGCAAACCGACACAGGUAGGUGAGGAGAGAAUCCUAAGGCCGGCGGAAGAAUUACAGUUAAGGAACUCGGCAAAUUGACCCCGUAAGUUCGCGAGAAGGGGUGCCUACGAGAGUAGGCCGCAGAGAAUAGGCCCAAGCAACUGUUUAGCAAAAACACAGGUCUCUGCUAAAGCGUAAGCUGAUGUAUAGGGGCUGACGCCUGCCCGGUGCUGGAAGGUUAAGGGGAACACUUAGCGCAAGCGAAGGUGUGAACUUAAGCCCCAGUAAACGGCGGCCGUAACUAUAACGGUCCUAAGGUAGCGAAAUUCCUUGUCAGGUAAGUUCUGACCCGCACGAAUGGCGUAAUGACUUGGGCACUGUCUCAACUGUAAAUCCGGCGAAGUUGUAGUGCGAGUGAAGAUGCUCGCUACCCGCGAUUGGACGGAAAGACCCCGUAGAGCUUUACUGUAGCUUAGCAUUGAGUUUUGGUAUUGUCUGUACAGGAUAGGUGGGAGACUAGGAAACCAGGGCGUCAGCCUUGGUGGAGUCAACCUUGGGAUACCACCCUGACAGUACUGAAAUUCUAACUGGCGGCCAUGAAUCUGGUCACAGGACAUUGUUAGGUGGGCAGUUUGACUGGGGCGGUCGCCUCCUAAAAAGUAACGGAGGCGCCCAAAGGUUCCCUCAGAACGGUCGGAAAUCGUUCGAAGAGUGCAAAGGCAGAAGGGAGCCUGACUGCGACACCCACAAGUGGAGCAGGGACGAAAGUCGGGCUUAGUGAUCCGGUGGUACCUCGUGGGAGGGCCAUCGCUCAACGGAUAAAAGCUACCUCGGGGAUAACAGGCUGAUCUCCCCCAAGAGUCCACAUCGACGGGGAGGUUUGGCACCUCGAUGUCGGCUCGUCGCAUCCUGGGGCUGAAGUAGGUCCCAAGGGUUGGGCUGUUCGCCCAUUAAAGCGGCACGCGAGCUGGGUUCAGAACGUCGUGAGACAGUUCGGUCCCUAUCCGUCGCGGGCGUAGGAAAUUUGAGAGGAGCUGUCCUUAGUACGAGAGGACCGGGAUGGACUGACCUCUGGUGUACCAGUUGUUCCGCCAGGAGCACAGCUGGGUAGCUAAGUCGGGAAUGGAUAAACGCUGAAAGCAUCUAAGCGUGAAGCCAACCUCAAGAUGAGAUUUCCCAUAGCGUAAGCUAGUAAGAUCCCUUGAAGAACACAAGGUUGAUAGGUCGGGGGUGUAAGCAUGGUAACAUGUUCAGCUGACCGAUACUAAUAGAUCGAGGGCUUGACCAA